GAAGUCGUUACUUCAACCCUCUGGGAGGAGGACGCCGAAGGUGGGGCUGAUGACUGGGGUGAAGUCGUAACAAGGUAGCCGUACCGGAAGGUGCGGCUGGAUCACCCCCUAACAGGGAGAACCAACCUCAAAUGAUGAUCACCACUUUUUAGUGAUCCAUUUGACUGUUCAUUCCUAUGGUCGAUCGGUACCUCAGUGAGUGUUUUUCACUCAUCUCGGUCCUUAAGCUUGUCUAGGUCACCACCCCUUAGCUGUUAAGCUUCGUGGGAUGGGCCCGAGAGGGUUCCUGGGCCAUUAGCUCAGGUGGUUAGAGCGCACCCCUGAUAAGGGUGAGGUCCCUGGUUCAAGUCCAGGAUGGCCCAUCGGGAUUGGGGGUUUAGCUCAGCUGGUAGAGCGCCUGCUUUGCAAGCAGGAUGUCAGCGGUUCGAGUCCGCUAACCUCCAUCAAUUCUGAUGUGGGAAACGGCAGAACGUGAUGGUGAUCUAGAGGAAGGUUUGUUGGUGAAUCCAGCCUCGUUUGAUACUCGGUAGUCGAGCUCAAAUGAUGCUGGACUCAGCAAUAGGUUCAGCAAGAACCUUGACAACUGCAUAGGUGAGUCUGGAAAUAAGCAUCUCACAGAGAUGAUCCAGACAUUGAUUGAUGAUUUUGGUCAUCAAUGGAUGGAUGGAUUGUUAAUUCUGUGGAAGCCGAGAUCCAGUUGACUUGUCAACUGGAGAGUGAAAAUGGUCAAGCUACAAAGGGCUCACGGCGGAUACCUUGGCACACAGAGGCGAUGAA
rnacentral:misc_RNA from 1 species